rnacentral:rRNA from 1 species
ACGGAAGGCAGCAGUGGGGAAUAUUGCACAAUGGGCGAAAGCCUGAUGCAGCGACGCCGCGUGAGUGAAGAAGUAUCUCGGUAUGUAAAGCUCUAUCAGCAGGGAAGAAAAUGACGGUACCUGACUAAGAAGCCCCGGCUAACUACGUGCCAGCAGCCGCGGUAAUACGUAGGGGGCAAGCGUUAUCCGGAUUUACUGGGUGUAAAGGGAGCGUAGACGGUUUGGCAAGUCUGAAGUGAAAUGCGGGGGCUCAACUCCUGAACUGCUUUGGAAACUGUCGAACUAGAGUGCAGUAGAGGUAAGUGGAAUUCCUAGUGUAGCGGUGAAAUGCGUAGAUAUUAGGAGGAACACCAGUGGCGAAGGCGGCUUACUGGACUGUAACUGACGUUGAGGCUCGAAAGCGUGGGGAGCAAACAGGAUUAGAUACCCUGGUA